rnacentral:sRNA from 1 species
AGCACAAGCUGAACAAAAACUGGGGCUCCCUAAACAGAAGCCCUCUGAGGGAGGGAGCCCAGCUGAGACGCACACCUGCACAUCCUGAACAAGAAGAUCUCAACUGUGGAUGCUCUGUCUGUGUCUGCAUCAGAACUGUGUUUCUAAAUAAAACAUCAGACCAUGCAAUUGAGAAAGAAUUAUGAACAUUCCUCAGAGGAGGCAUCUGGAAUAGCAAAGAGCAUAAUUUCCUGGAGAAAGUUACACUCAGAAGGAGAUCCAGCAUGAGUGAAGUAAUCAGAGACAGACUAUAAGGAUUUCUCUCCAUGAAAUACUGGUGGUGACUGGGUUACUCCACCAAUCUUUACCUUUGUAUCUAGUACUGAGCCUGAGGUACUGAAGGUCAGCAGUUGGGGAGGACAGGUACAUGAGCAUAGCACCUGGCUGUCCUGAGAUUUGUGAGAAUUCAGUGAGACCCAAAAAGCCAAUGGAAUCUAGAAGGAUAAACCUCCCUCACCUCCUCAGUCUCUCUGGUUUGGGGGAGCAUCAGAAGAAGUCAUGCCAUUUGCCAACAUGAUACACACAGACUCGACCUGAAUAAAGCAAAGCUGUAGAAGUGAGGAGUAGAGAGUUAAUGGUAAAGUGAGCUGGAAUCUAAUGGACAUCAAAUAUUUAUGGGGCCUGAAUCUGCAGGGCUAUAUAAAAAUAAUUAAAUAUAUCACACCUGUUUCUUAAGUCUUCUACAGCUGCCUUUUCCAUGUCCACCCCCAAAACACAGCAACAUGGAGAAGGAAAUUCUGUGAAAUGUGUUUCUAGAUAUGUUUUUAAAGAUUAUUUUUUAGAUCAUGUGUGUAACCUUUUUGUCAGCAUGUAUAUAUGUGUACUGGGUGAAGUCUGGUGCUCAUGGAGGCCAGAAGGGGAUAUUAGAUUCUGGAAAUUGGAGUUAUCGAAGGAAAGGAUUUACCGCGUCGAUGUCAGGCACUGAAUCUAAGUCCUCUGUAAAAGCAGUGAUUGCUUUUAAUUAGGGAGUGUAUGUUCCAGGUCCUGUUUCUAGUUAAUUUGCAUAAACUGUAUAUGAUAAAGGAGAUAAAUAACUUCAAUUCACCAAUUAAAAACCAUAGGCUACCUGGGGGAAUUAACAAAGAAUACUAUCUGUGUCUCCAGGAAACACUUCCCACAGCUAAGAACAUCAAACACUGAAAGUCCAACCAUAGAGAUCAGCAUCGGAAGUAAUUGACAGCUGUAAACAUGGCACUGCACGUCUCAUAUUUGACAAAGGAGACUUCAGGCCACAGCUAGUCAGAGAGCUGAGGAGAGCCACUGCAUAGCCACAGAGGCUGUCAGAUACAAUGGUGAUUCAUGUAGCAGUGCCAAGUAUGCUUCAUCUACGUUCUGCACUGGUUAGCAGAAGACUACUUAAGGUACGGGGCUUGCCUUGUUGUCCAGGAUGGGGCAUUUUUCUUUGCUAAGUGAAAUUCAUGCCUAUAUGUUGACCUUCUUUGUACUACAGAAAUAUCCUGAGAUCUAGGAACAAGGCACUGAUGGAGAAGAAGCUGCUGUAGGUAGUGUAUCCUAGUGAGCUCUUGUUGCCUUCUAUCGUGCAUCUACCCUUCCAACUUAAUGAACAGUUUCCCCAUUGGCGGUAGGACAGGAGACUGAUCACAGAUAUCUGUGAGAAGCCAUGAAAGCUGUCAUUAGGAUGCACUGUCAAACAGACCUCAGAAGACUCUAUGAGUUUGUCUUAUGAGAGACACUGGAACUUCAGAGCAUGCCUGUUAGUCUGUAUGGAGUGCAUGAUAAGCAAAUCCAGUUAAGCUUUUGAAGUAGGGGUGCUUCUGUGCUGUGUGGUUUCCAUGUGCUUUCUUGUUUAGUACUUAGCAGACAUGCCAAAGUUGUUGAAUCUUCUGUCCUGGGACAGCAUAGCAAUGUUCAGAAUAGGGCUUGGGUUCAAGUUCUGAACCAUCCACUUAGUAGCUGAGGGAACUUGAGCAGACUGCUUCAUGAAUUUUGUGCUUGAUUUCCUCAUUCCUGCAUAUGAUUAUUCUUAAUAUCUACUGCAAAGUUCACUAUGAUGGCUGCCAAUUCUUAGUAACUCAUGUCAAAAAGUGUAAAAAGUCAAUUACACAAAAGGAAAUUGUGUGUAUGAGGAAAUGAAUGCUUGUCAAGUGCCACAAAAUGCCCAUCACAGCCUGGCUUUCCUGUGCUCUUGUUGUGAUGCUGUCUUAAUGAACGACACAUCUGUGCUUCGCUGCAUUCCUUUGCAAUUAAGUAUUUGUUAGAGUUCUCACAGGGGGAGAAAUUAUAGUCACUAAGAGAAUCUUAAUUAUUUUAGUCAAUGUGCCCAAUAAUGUGUUUUUAUGACAUUUUCAUCCAAAUAUAUCAUCGUUUGCUCAUAUUUACCUCAGCACCAUCCCUGUUCCAUCCCUACUCCUACUAGUGUUAUCUUCCUCCAAAUGUUCCCAGUCUGCAUUUGUCUCUCCCUUUUUCUCCAUAUA